CGACACGUAAGCAACCUGCCCCAAAGACCGGGACAACUCCUCGAAAGGGGGGCUAAUACCGGAUGUGGACGCUUUGAGACAUCUCUGAGUGUGUAAAUCAUUUAUGGCUUUGGGAGGGGCUUGCGGCCUAUCAGUUAGAUGGCGAGGUAAUGGCUCCCCAUGACGACGACGGGUAGCUGGUCUGAGAGGAUGGUCAGCCGGACUGGGACUGAGAGACGGCCCAG
rnacentral:rRNA from 1 species